rnacentral:rRNA from 1 species
UGGGGAAUUUUGGACAAUGGGCGAAAGCCUGAUCCAGCCAUACCGCGUGAGUGAAGAAGGCCUUCGGGUUGUAAAGCUCUUUCAGCCGGAAAGAAAAGGUUCCAGAUAACACCUGGAGCUGAUGACGGUACCGGAAGAAGAAGCACCGGCUAACUACGUGCCAGCAGCCGCGGUAAUACGUAGGGUGCGAGCGUUAAUCGGAAUUACUGGGCGUAAAGCGUGCGCAGGCGGUUUUUUAAGCCAGAUGUGAAAUCCCCGGGCUUAACCUGGGAACUGCAUUUGGAACUGGAAGACUAGAGUGUAGCAGAGGGGGGUAGAAUUCCACGUGUAGCAGUGAAAUGCGUAGAUAUGUGGAGGAAUACCAAUGGCGAAGGCAGCCCCCUGGGUUAACACUGACGCUCAUGCACGAAAGCGUGGGGAGCAAACAGGAUUAGAUACCCUGGUAGUCCACGCCCUAAACGAUGUCAACUAGUUGUUGGGGGAGGAGACUUCCUUAGUAACGCAGCUAACGCGUGAAG